rnacentral:rRNA from 1 species
UAACACGUACGCAAGUCAAAGGGUAUAGACUAAACCCUNAAGGCACAAUUAAAGUGAAGAAAGAAACGUUCUCUUCGGAGUUCGUGAAGGGACGAUGGUUCCGGGGGACGAGAACUCGAGAGGGUACUCUGUCAAACCCCGGCCCGCACUCCCGGGGCGUGGCGAGAAAUCGUCACGCACCAAGAGCGUACACGUUGGUACCCGAAAGAUGGUGAACUAUGCAUGGCCAGGAUGAAGCCAGGGGAAACCCUGGUGGAGGUCCGAAGCGAUUCUGACGUGCAAAUCGAUCGCGUGAGCUGUGUAUAGGGGCGAAAGACCAAUCGAACCAUCUAGUAGCUGGUUCCCUCCGAAGUUUCCCUCAGGAUAGCUGGCACUCAGGGACCAGAAAUAAUUUUGAAAAAUCAUAAAAAAAGAGUCUCAUGCGGUAAAGCGAAUGAUUAGAGGUCUUAGGGCCGAAACGACCUUAACCUAUUCUCAAACUUUAAAUGUGUGAGAGCCCCGGCAUUCUUAAAUUUACUUGCUUUUGUGAUGCCGGGGCGAAGGAUCUGAGCUGUCUAGUGGGCCAUUUUUGU